rnacentral:rRNA from 1 species
GAGGAUCCGAGCGUUAUCCGGAUUUAUUGGGUUUAAAGGGUGCGCAGGCGGGAGAUUAAGUCGGCGGUGAAAUUUUGCAGCUCAACUGUAAAAGUGCCAUCGAUACUGGUUUUCUUGAGUGUGGAUGAAGUAGGCGGAAUUUGUGGUGUAGCGGUGAAAUGCAUAGAUAUCACGAGGAACACCGAUUGCGCAGGCAGCUUACUAAACCAUAACUGACGCUCAGGCACGAAGGCGUGGGGAUCAAACAGGAUUAGAUACCCUGGUAGUCCACGCAGUAAACGAUGAUUACUGGCUGUUUGCGAUAUACAGUAAGCGGCUGAGCGAAAGCGUUAAGUAAUCCACCUGGGGAGUACGUUCGCAAGAAUGAAACUCAAAGGAAUUGACGGGGGCCCGCACAAGCGGAGGAACAUGUGGUUUAAUUCGAUGAUACGCGAGGAACCUUACCCGGGCUUGAAAUGCAUCUGACAGGGGCAGAGACGUCCUUUCCCUUCGGGGCAGAUGUGUAGGUGCUGCAUGGUUGUCGUCAGCUCGUGCCGUGAGGUGUCGGCUUAAGUGCCAUAACGAGCGCAACCCUCAUCAUUAGUUACCAUCAGGUUAAGCUGGGGACUCUAAUGAGACUGCCAUCGUAAGAUGCGAGGAAGGUGGGGAUGACGUCAAAUCAGCACGGCCCUUAC